AAGCGACCCACGGUGGCAGAUCCAACGUCGGGCUCUCCAGGAGAUCAUCCCCAGGGACAGGGAAAAUCAUUGACUUGGGUCCAGCAAUGCCAAAUGUGUUAGGGUGUGAGUAACCAAAGGCAACAGGCUCCA